UACGUAGGGUGCGAGCGUUAAUCGGAAUUACUGGGCGUAAAGCGUGCGCAGGCGGUUUUGUAAGCCAGAUGUGAAACCCCCGGGCUCAACCUGGGAAUGGCAUUUGGGACUGCAAGGCUGGAGUACGGCAGAGGAGACUGGAAUUCCUGGUGUAGCAGUGAAAUGCGUAGAUAUCAAGUGGAACACCAGUGGCGAAGGCGAGUCCCUGGACAUUUCCUGACACUGAGGCACGAAAGCUAGGGGAGCAAACAGG
rnacentral:rRNA from 1 species